rnacentral:rRNA from 1 species
UACGUAAGGGGCAAGCGUUAUCCGGAAUCACUGGGCGUAAAGGGUGCGUAGGUGGCCUUUUAAGUCAGGAGUGAAAGGCAUUGGCUCAACCAAUGUAAGCUCUUGAAACUGAAAGGCUUGAGUGCAGGAGAGGAAAGUGGAAUUCCUAGUGUAGCGGUGAAAUGCGUAGAUAUUAGGAGGAACACCAGUGGCGAAGGCGACUUUCUGGACUGUAACUGACACUGAGGCACGAAAGCGUGGGGAGCGAACAGG